rnacentral:rRNA from 1 species
UAAACUAGGAUUAGAUACCCUAUUAUUUUAAAUAUAAAAUUUUACCUAGGUAUUAAUAGUUUUGUUCUUUAAACCUAAAGAAUUUGGCGGUGUUUUAGUCUUUUCAGAGGAAUUUGUUUCAUAAUCGAUACUCCACGUUUUAUCUUUCUUUAUUUUGUUAAUCAGUAUGUAUAUCUCCGUUAUAAGUUUAUUUUUGUAGAAUAAUUUACUUUAUAUUAUAUUAUAUUUUAUUUCA